UGUCCGAUCUACAAACCCGCGU
rnacentral:miRNA from 1 species